UACGUAGGGUCCGAGCGUUGUCCGGAUUUAUUGGGCGUAAAGAGCUCGUAGGCGGUUCCGUAAGUCAGAUGUGAAAACUCAGGGCUCAACCCGGAGACGCCAUCUGAUACUGCGGUGACUGGAGUCUGGUAGGGGAACACGGAAUUCCUGGUGUAGCGGUGAAAUGCGCGGAUAUCAGGAGGAACACCGAUGGCGAAGGCAGUGUUCUGGGCCAGUACUGACGCUGAGGAGCGAAAGCGUGGGGAGCAAACAGG
rnacentral:rRNA from 1 species